rnacentral:lncRNA from 1 species
GUGGUUCGGAUGCGAAUGCUUCCUGCAGCCUAAGGUUGGUUGAGUCAUGUGAAAUUCAAACGAAACUGGUGGGCUUCAAGAAAGUUAAACGUAUUUGGCCUUUCUAAAGGACCUAGAAGGCUCCAAAUUAAUAUUCGUUGGUCUGUCUGCAACAACUUUGUCUCUCACAACAACCUUGGAAGUAGUCAUCUUUCUGGGUC